AUACUGGCAGGGAAGAUACCAUGAUCAGGAAGGUGGUUUUCCCAGGGUGAGACACAUUCAUUGCAGUCCAGAAGUGCUGACCCUGCAAUUUCCUCCAAUUUGGGAAACUCGACUGCAUAAUUUGUGGUAGUACGAGACUGUGCUUUCUCCUA
rnacentral:snRNA from 1 species